rnacentral:rRNA from 1 species
AUUGAACGCUGGCGGCAUGCCUUACACAUGCAAGUCGAACGGCAGCGCGGGAGCAAUCCUGGCGGCGAGUGGCGAACGGGUGAGUAAUAUAUCGGAACGUGCCCUAGAGUGGGGGAUAACUAGUCGAAAGAUUAGCUAAUACCGCAUACGAUCUACGGAUGAAAGUGGGGGAUCGCAAGACCUCAUGCUCGUGGAGCGGCCGAUAUCUGAUUAGCUAGUUGGUAGGGUAAAAGCCUACCAAGGCCACGAUCAGUAGCUGGUCUGAGAGGACGACCAGCCACACUGGGACUGAGACACGGCCCAGACUCCUACGGGAGGCAGCAGUGGGGAAUUUUGGACAAUGGGGGAAACCCUGAUCCAGCAAUGCCGCGUGUGUGAAGAAGGCCUUCGGGUUGUAAAGCACUCUUGUCCGGAACGAAACGGGCCAAGCUAAUAUCUUGGCCUAAUGACGGUACCGGAAGAAUAAGCACCGGCUAACUGCGUGCCAGCAGCCGCCGUAA